UAUUGCACAAUGGGGGAAACCCUGAUGCAGCGACGCCGCGUGAAGGAAGAAGUAUCUCGGUAUGUAAACUUCUAUCAGCAGGGAAGAAAAUGACGGUACCUGACUAAGAAGCCCCGGCCAACUACGUGCCAGCAGCCGCGGUAAUACGUAGGGGGCAAGCGUUAGCCGGAUUUACUGGGUGUAAAGGGGGCGCAGACGGCAGCGCAAGCCAGGAGUGAAAGCCCGGGGCCCAACCCCGGGGCUGCGCUUGGAACUGCGCGGCUGGAGUGCAGGAGGGGCAGGCGGAAUUCCUAGUGUAGCGGUGAAAUGCGUAGAUAUCAGGAGGAACACCGGUGGCGAAGGCGGCCUGCUGGACUGCGACUGACGUUGAGGCCCGAAAGCGUGGGGAGCAAACAG
rnacentral:rRNA from 1 species